CCGAGUGUAGCUCAGUUGGUAGAGCGAUUGACUGUAGUGUUGUAGGCUGUGUAUCAGUGUGCUCGGAAAUCAAUUGGUCGCUGGUUCGAUUCCGGCCACUCGGA
rfam:Hyaloperonospora arabidopsidis Emoy2 Contig814.0, whole genome shotgun sequence.